rnacentral:lncRNA from 1 species
AAAUCUCAUUUUCGAAAAUUGACCCUUAUGACUGGUUUUUUGCUCCAGGGUCACAUAUACCAAAUAUUGAUAACGUUAUAAGAACGUUCCAUAAACGUUACUUUAAGAAUGUUUUGUCCUAACAUUUAUAUAGUUUUAAAUAUGUUAGUGGACAUUGUGAGAACGUUCCCUGUUAGCUCACAUUGGACCGACACGCAACUCAACGCUCCUCAUCUUGUGUUUGCAGAGAGGAAUCAUGUUUGAGAUCAAGCUGAGCAAUGAAGAGACGAAGACUGAGGAAGACGAGGAGUCAGAGGACGAGCCCCUGAACAACACACUGACGUUUGCACAAGGAGAAAAGCUACGCAACCGACCGCAGGGGUCAGAGGUCAGACAGGAAGUGGAGGAGGAAGUGGUGAAGAGAGCCGAGUGGCAUCGAGACGCAGCUGAGACGUUUCUGAACGCUCUGGAGAACAUGGAUGUGAUGACAGAGAGCAGCAUCAGUCUCGCUCAGACCGUUUCAGAGGAGCAGGAGGGAGGAAACAGGAAGCACUGGACGAAUCGUCUGCCGGAGACACUGCUGAACGCUCUCGCUCAAGCAGACAUCAUGGACUGCAGUACAGAGGAAGAGGAGGAGUGUGAUGAAGAUGAAGAUGAGGUGGAUGAAGAGCGUCUGGAGCCUCGAUCAGAUGAUGAAGACACGAACUUUGAGGAGUCCGAGGACGAGCUGCGGGACGAGGUGAGCGACUCCAUGAGGAACCUCCUCACCACACAGGAGCAGGAGCAGGAGCUGGAGGAGCAGACGGCACAGGAAACACAGCAGGAAGUGAACCGCAGAUCACAGGAAGUGAGCGAGGAGAUGCAGCCACCCGCUCAUGCUGAGUCUGGGAAAAACACUGCAGUGAACUGAUCCUGCGGUUUUCCUUCUUUUUCUUUUUCAUUCUGUGUGAAUCUCUGUUAAACUAAUGUAUUCCUGUGAUGCGCAGCUGUAUUUUCAGCAUCAUUCCUCCAGUCUUCAGUGUCACAUGAUCUUCAGAAAUCAGUAUAAUAUGCUGCUCUGCUGCUCGAGAAACAUUUCUGAUUAUUAGCAAUGUUGAACACAGUCGUGCUGCACAAUAUUUUUGUGGAAACUGUGAUGCAUUUUAUUUUUCAGGAUUCACAGAUGAACAGAGAGUUCAGAAGAACAGC